AUUGAACGCUGGCGGCAUGCCUUACACAUGCAAGUCGAACGGCAGCACGGGAGCAAUCCUGGUGGCGAGUGGCGAACGGGUGAGUAAUAUAUCGGAACGUGCCCAGUCGUGGGGGAUAACGUAGCGAAAGCUACGCUAAUACCGCAUACGAUCUAUGGAUGAAAGCGGGGGAUCGCAAGACCUCGCGCGAUUGGAGCGGCCGAUAUCAGAUUAGGUAGUUGGUGAGGUAAAGGCUCACCAAGCCGACGAUCUGUAGCUGGUCUGAGAGGACGACCAGCCACACUGGGACUGAGACACGGCCCAGACUCCUACGGGAGGCAGCAGUGGGGAAUUUUGGACAAUGGGCGCAAGCCUGAUCCAGCAAUGCCGCGUGCAGGAUGAAGGCCCUCGGGUUGUAAACUGCUUUUGUACGGAACGAAAGGUUUGUCUUAAUACGAUGAGCUCAUGACGGUACCGUAAGAAUAAGCACCGGCUAACUACG
rnacentral:rRNA from 1 species